UACCAGCACCCCGAGUGGUCGGGACGUUUAUUGGGCCUAAAGCAUCCGUAGCCGGUUCUACAAGUCUUCCGUUAAAUCCAGCUGCUUAACAGAUGGGCUGCGGAAGAUACUAUGGAGCUAGGAGGCGGGAGAGGCAAGCGGUACUCGAUGGGUAGGGGUAAAAUCCGUUGAUCCAUUGAAGACCACCAAUGGCGAAGGCGGCUUGCCAGAACGCGCUCGACGGUGAGGGAUGAAAGCUGGGGGAGCAAACCGG
rnacentral:rRNA from 1 species